AACGUACACUGGCGGCACGCCUAACACAUGCAAGUCGAACGAAGUAGCAAUACUUAGUGGCAGACGGGUGAGUAACAUGUAGGUAUCUGCCCUUUGGCCUGGAAUAACACGAGGAAACUUGUGCUAAUACCGGAUAAGUCUUUACGGAGAAAGCUUUAUGCACCAUUGGAUGAGCCUGCACUUGAUUAGUUUGUUGGUGGGGUAAUGGCCUACCAAGACUGUGAUCAAUAGCUGAUUUGAGAGGAUGAUCAGCCACAUUGGGACUGAGACACGGCCCAAACUCCUACGGGAGGCAGCAGUGGGGAAUCUUGCACAAUGGAGGAAACUCUGAUGCAGCGAUGCCGCGUGAGUGAAGAAGGCCUUUGGGUUGUAAAGCUCUUUCGUCGGGGAAGAAAAUGACUGUACCCGAAUAAGAAGGUCCGGCUAACUUCGUGCCAGCAGCCGCGGUAAUACGAAGGGACCUAGCGUAGUUCGGAAUUACUGGGCUUAAAGAGUUCGUAGGUGGUUGAAAAAGUUGGUGGUGAAAUCCCAGAGCUUAACUCUGGAACUGCCAUCAAAACUUUUCAGCUAGAGUGUGAUAGAGGAAAGCAGAAUUUCUAGUGUAGAGGUGAAAUUCGUAGAUAUUAGAAAGAAUACCAAUUGCGAAGGCAGCUUUCUGGAUCAUUACUGACACUGAGGAACGAAAGCAUGGGUAGCGAAGAGGAUUAGAUACCCUCGUAGUCCAUGCUGUAAACGAUGUGUGUUAGACGUUGGAAAUUUAUUUUCAGUGUCGCAGCGAAAGCGAUAAACACACCGCCUGGGGAGUACGACCGCAAGGUUAAAACUCAAAUGAAUUGACGGGGACCCGCACAAGUAGUGGAGCAUGUGGUUUAAUUCGAAGAUACGCGCAGAACCUUACCAACACUUGACAUGUUCGUCGCGACUUUAAGAGAUUAAAGUUUUCGGUUCGGCCGGACGAAACACAGGUGCUGCAUGGCUGUCGUCAGCUCGUGUCGUGAGAUGUUGGGUUAAGUCCCGCAACGAGCGCAACCCUCACUUUUAGUUGCCAUCAUUUAGUUGGGCACUCUGAAAGAACUGCCAGUGAUAAGCUGGAGGAAGGUGGGGAUGACGUCAAGUCCUCAUGGCCCUUACGUGUUGGGCUACACACGUGCUACAAUGGUAUCUACAACAGGAAGCAAAACUGCGAGGUUAAGCAAAUCCUUAAAAGAUACCUCAGUUCGGAUUGCACUCUGCAACUCGAGUGCAUGAAGCUGGAAUUACUAGUAAUCGUGGAUCAGCGUGCCACGGUGAAUGCGUUCCCGGGUCUUGUACACACCGCCCGUCACACCAUGGGAGUUGGUUCUACCUUAAGGCAAGGUUUCAAACCCUUGACCACGGUAUAGUCAGCGACUGGGGUG
rnacentral:rRNA from 1 species